rnacentral:rRNA from 1 species
UUACUUCGGUACAUCGGUGACAGGUGGUGCAUGGUUGUCGUCAGCUCGUGUCGUGAGAUGUUGGGUUAAGUCCCGCAACGAGCGCAACCCCUAUUGUUAGUUGCCAUCAUUCAGUUGGGCACUCUAGCGAGACUGCCGGUAAUAAACCGGAGAAGUGGGGAUGACGUCAAAUCAUCAUGCCCCUUAUGACCUGGGCUACACACGUGCUACAAUGGUUGGUACAACGAGUUGCGAGUCGGUGACGGCGAGCUAAUCUCUUAAAGCCAAUCUCAGUUCGGAUUGUAGGCUGCAACUCGCCUACAUGAAGUCGGAAUCGCUAGUAAUCGCGGAUCAGCACGCCCGCGGUCGAAUACGUUCCGGGCCUU